rnacentral:rRNA from 1 species
GGUGACGGUAGUGGUAGAAGAAGCACCGGCUAACUACGUGCCAGCAGCCGCGGUAAUACGUAGGGUGCGAGCGUUGUCCGGAUUUACUGGGCGUAAAGAGCUCGUAGGUGGCUUGUCGCGUCGUCUGUGAAAGUCUGGGGCUUAACUCCGGGUGUGCAGGCGAUACGGGCUGGCUUGAGUGCUGUAGGGGAGACUGGAAUUCCUGGUGUAGCGGUGGAAUGCGCAGAUAUCAGGAGGAACACCGAUGGCGAAGGCAGGUCUCUGGGCAGCCACUGACGCUGAGGAGCGAGAGCAUGGGUAGCGAACAGGAUUAGAUACCCUGGUAGU